rnacentral:rRNA from 1 species
AACGAACGCUGGCGGCAUGCCUAACACAUGCAAGUCGAACGAUGCCUUCGGGCAUAGUGGCGCACGGGUGCGUAACGCGUGGGAAUCUGCCUUUCGGUUCGGAAUAACUCAGGGAAACUUGAGCUAAUACCGGAUAACGUCGCAAGACCAAAGAUUUAUCACCGAAAGAUGAGCCGGCGUAGGAUUAGCUAGUUGGUGAGGUAAAGGCUCACCAAGGCGACGAUCCUUAGCUGGUCUGAGAGGAUGAUCAGCCACACUGGGACUGAGACACGGCCCAGACUCCUACGGGAGGCAGCAGUGGGGAAUAUUGGACAAUGGGCGGAAGCAUGAACCAGCAAUGCCGGGUGAGUGAUGAAGGUCUUAGGGUUGUAAAGCUCUUUUACCCGGGAAGAUAAUGACGGUACCGGGAGAAUAAGCCCCGGCUAACUCCGUG